rnacentral:rRNA from 1 species
GCGCGGUGAUAGUACAUUAAAUGCACCAAUGAUUCACUGAAGUUAAGCAACGCUUCGCGUGGUUGGUAUUCGGAUGGGUGUUCAUCUGGGCAAUCGCUUGCUGCUGGCU